GACGAACAGUGCAAACGUUGUUCGGAAUCACUGGGCUUAAAGGGCGCGUAGGCGGGCCAGCCAGUCUGUGGUGAAAGCCUCCAGCUUAACUGGAGAAGUGCCGUGGAUACUGCUGGCCUCGAGGAGGAUAGGGGCAUCUGGAACGGUCGGUGGAGCGGUGAAAUGCGUUGAUAUCGACCGGAACUCCGGUGGCGAAGGCGAGGUGCUGGGUCCUUUCUGACGCUGAUGCGCGAAAGCCAGGGGAGCAAACGGG
rnacentral:rRNA from 1 species